AUACGGAGGAUGCGAGCGUUAUCCGGAUUUAUUGGGUUUAAAGGGUGCGUAGGCUGUGCGUUAAGUCAGGGGUGAAAUGCCGUUGCUCAACAUCGGAGCUGCCCUUGAUACUGGCGUGCUGGAGUACGGAUGCCGUUGGAGGAAUGAGUAGUGUAGCGGUGAAAUGCAUAGAUAUUACUCAGAACACCGAUUGCGAAGGCAUCUGACGAACCCGUAACUGACGCUGAGGCACGAAAGGGUGGGGAUAGAACAGGAUUAGAUCCCCUGGUAUUCCACGCCGUAAACGAUGAUGACUAACCGCCGGCGACAGACCGAUCGGUGGCCAAGCGAAAGCGAUAAGUCAUCCACCUGGGGAGUACGACCGCAAGGUUGAAACUCAAAUGAAUUGGCGGGG
rnacentral:rRNA from 1 species